rnacentral:rRNA from 1 species
AACGAACGCUGGCGGCAUGCCUAACUCAUGCAAGUCGAACGAGACCUUCGGGACUAGUGGCGUACGGGUGCGUAACGCGUGGGAACCUGCCCUUAGGUUCGGAAUAACUCCCCGAAAGGGGUGCUAAUACCGGAUAAUGUCCUCGGACCAAAGAUUUAUCGCCUUUGGAUGGGCCCGCGUUGGAUUAGCUAGUUGGUAGGGUAAAAGCCUACCAAGGCGACGAUCCAUAGCUGGUCUGAGAGGAUGAUCAGCCACACUGGGACUGAGACACGGCCCAGACUCCUACGGGAGGCAGCAGUGGGGAAUAUUGGAAUAUGGGUGAUAGCUUGGUCCAGCAAGGCCGGGUGAGUGAAGGAGGCCUUAGGGUUGUAGAGCUCUGUUUAGCGGGAUGAUAAUGACAGUCCCGGGAGAAUAGUCCACGGCUAGAUCCGUG